rnacentral:rRNA from 1 species
AGUGAACGCUGGCGGUAGGCCUAACACAUGCAAGUCGAACGGCAGCACAGGAGAGCUUGCUCUCUGGGUGGCGAGUGGCGGACGGGUGAGGAAUACAUCGGAAUCUACUUUUUCGUGGGGGAUAACGUAGGGAAACUUACGCUAAUACCGCAUACGACCUACGGGUGAAAGCAGGGGACCUUCGGGCCUUGCGCGAUUGAAUGAGCCGGUGUCGGAUUAGCUAGUUGGCGGGGUAAAGGCCCACCAAGGCGACGAUCCGUAGCUGGUCUGAGAGGAUGAUCAGCCGAACUGGAACUGAGACACGGUCCAGACUCCUACGGGAGGCAGCAGUGGGGAAUAUGGGACAAUGGGCGCAAGCCUGAUCCAGCCAUACCGCGUGGGUGAAGAAGGCCUUCGGGUUGUAAAGCCCUUUUGUUGGGAAAGAAAUCCAGCUGGCUAAUACCCGGUUGGGAUGACGGUACCCAAAGAAUAAGCACCGGCUAACUUCGUGCCAGCCGCCGCCGUAA